GAGAAGUGUAACUGCCACCCCAGCCCCCACCCCAUUCCAACUGACGACAGAGUGAGUCUGAGUUUAAAGAUGGUAAGAGAAUGAGCUUGGUCCCUAAGGAAAGGAGAAGUGAAUCUACUAAAUAUCUGCUGAAAAUAUUUCUGCUGCUGUGCCUGGGCUGUCCUUGCAGUAAAUAUAUCACCAGGGCGCGUAAUCUUGUUCUGUGACCUCCUGCAAAUUCCAGGGAUGUGCAGAAAUCAUCUGCUCCAAGUUCUAAGACUUCUCCAGUUCACACUGAAAAGCAGGCACCAUGGAGUGAGACCGGUUCCAUUAUCCAGUGUAAGAACACCAAGUAACUCUACAGAUGUGAGCUCCUUGCGAGCUCCAUGAACUGCUCAUCAAGCAUCAUCUUCUCAGCACCUAGAACAGUGCCUGGUACAGAUUAGAAGCUUCCAAAAGGCUUCAAGGCCAUCCUCAGGAUGUACAGAAAGCAUAGAUAAUUGAGACAGGUGACCUCAAUUAUCCAAGAAGACUUGCUACAAGAAGUCUACUUCAAGUGACUCCACCUUAAAAAUGG
rnacentral:lncRNA from 1 species